GACGAACGCUGGCGGCGUGCUUAACACAUGCAAGUCGAACGGAAAGGCCCUGCUCUUGUGGGGUGCUCGAGUGGCGCGCGGGUGAGUAACACGCGAGUAACCUGCCCUUGACUUUGGGAUAACUUCAGGAAACUGGGGCUAAUACCGGAUAUGAGCUCCUGCUGCAUGUUGGGGGUUGGAAAGUUUCGGCGGUUGGGGAUGGACUCGCGGCUUAUCAGCUUGUUGGUGGGGUAGUGGCUUACCAAGGCUUUGACGGGUAGCCGGCCUGAGAGGGUGACCGGCCACAUUGGGACUGAGAUACGGACCAGACUCCUACGGGAGGCAGCAGUGGGGAAUAUUGCACAAUGGGCGGAAGCCUGAUGCAGCAACGCCGCGUGCGGGAUGACGGCCUUCGGGUUGUAAACCGCUUUCGACUGUGACGAAGCGUGAGUGACGGUAAUGGGUAAAGAAGCACCGGCUAACUACGUG
rnacentral:rRNA from 1 species